rnacentral:rRNA from 1 species
GACGAACGCUGGCGGCGUGCUUAACACAUGCAAGUCGAACGGUGAAGCCCUUCGGGGUGGGAUCAGUGGCGAACGGGUGAGUAACACGUGAGCAAUCUGCCCUUGACUCGUGGGAUAACUUCGGGAAACCGGAGCGUAAUACCGGGAUAUGACACGCGGCCGCAUGGUCUGUGUGGUGGAAAGAUUUAUUGGUCAGGGAUGAGCUCGCGGCCUAUCAGCUUGUUGG